rnacentral:misc_RNA from 1 species
GAAUUUAAAUCAUAGAUCAAUGAAAGAAAAGAAUGAAAAGAUUCUUUUAUUUGCUUUGAUUUAGUAUGAGAACAAUGAAAUCCAAAGAACUCCACGACACUUCUAAUAAAGAGUAAUGAAAACAAGAAAAGAAACAGUAAACAUACUCGGCUGGAAUAACAAAAGUUUAGACAAAAAAAAUGUAGAAUACAUGCAGAAAUUCAAAUAAUAUAUUGGUGUAAGAAAAAAAGUGACAGUGAAAAAAGAAUUUUAGAAUUUGAGAGAUAGAAGACAAGAAUGAAGAAAAACAAUGGAAAUGUUUAACAAAAAAAAGAAAGAAGAAAUGAAGAAAGAGGAGAAAGUGGUCAUGUUCUGUCUCAACUUUUUUAUUUUUUAAAUUUUUUGCAUUUUCUUGCCUUUCCUCGCCUUGCCUGGGCGCCUAGGCAGCGCUUGGUUGAAGUCGCCUCGCUUGGAGGCUUCCCAGGAGAGGUGCCUUGAUUUCGCCUCGCCGGAGUGCCUAGGCAUGAAGUUUGUGAAUUGUGGGCCAUUUGGUUCAAGUCAAGUUUUGUCUAUUGUCAGCCAGCCAUUUUUAGUUAGUUGCUAGCAGUUAUGUGGAGUCCAUUGUUUAGUCAUGUCUAGUUCACUCCUUUAGAAGAGGUUCCACUAUGCUUUAACAUGGUGGUUUACUGUUUAGUUGUAGGGAAGUUGGGUAAAAUUGUCUAUACAAAUUAGUGUAAAAUGUAUGAAAAAAUAAAAUUGGAAGCCCCCUUCCAAAAAACCUUGUUAUGGUUUCCAUAACUGAAACUUGGGAUUUAUCUUUGGAUAUUAGAGGCUAUGUUAACCAAUGAGGAAAAUCUGGAGAAUCCCAAGCUUAUUCUGAAGCCUUUGGCAGUUGACACCAUUGCAUGAGCUGAAGCCCAACCUUACUCUGAGCAACUCCAAAGUGUGUUAAGGCCAGAACUACAUAAGAUACUCUGAAAGCAUUGAUGGAGGAGAUCUCCUAUGCCUUAGAUCAGCCUUAUCCAUCCGUCCAACUUGAGAGCUUCAGGGGGCUUCCAAUAAUUACAUUCCUGCAAGAUUUAGAGAUGGAUUUCCAUAGGUACCAUGGUUUUAAAAAUGAACGUUACAUAAUGUAACAGCUAUUAAAUAUUGGAUAAAACUAAAGUAGAAUCUGUAAUUUAUAAACAACUUGUAUGUAAUGUCCACAAAUCGAUUUUUUUUUCUUGCAUUAAUUGAGCAAAUUGAAGAAAUAUGUUUGAUAAUUUAGGUUAUACAUAAUUUUUGUCAUGUUUCUUUCUCACCAG